rnacentral:misc_RNA from 1 species
CGGAGGCACCCAUGAUGCCACUAAAAGUAGGGCCAUUUUUUUUCAACUGGAUAGAAAGAGAAAUGUAGCACUAGCCAACUUUAAAAGGAG